UGCGGUAAUCGGACGGUAGCAAUUACCUCCACCUCCCCCUCCCGUGAUCCACGCCACCUCACCCCUGACCCGCGCCCCCUCCCACCCGUGACCCGUGCUCCCUCCCCUAACCCUAAUCGCCGCCGCACCGCCACUGAUUCGCUCCGCGGAACACCGAACACCAACGCCCGCCGCGCUCCCCUCACCCAAGCCCGCGGCACCACCGAUCCGCGCCGCCGGAACACCCGUGCCCCUCGCUAUCCCCCCACCCUCGUCCGUGCCGCCCCAGAUCACCGUCGCCCUGAGUUGUCGUCGCCCGCCUCGUCGAUCUCCUCUGCACCACCAUAACUCCGUGCGCGAACCUCGCCGAUCUCCGUGCCACCAGAGCUCCGUCGCCUGCCUCGCCGAUCUGCUCCAACCCAUAUCCCAUCCGCCGCCAAGAGCAUCUUAAGGUGGUUUAUGUCUAUUUUGAUCGAGCAGUUUGGCGAGUGGAGAUGUGGAAUUAUACCAUAGUAGUUCAGGAGGAUUGAUAUAGUUGGUGGCUCUUCCUUUCUCGAUCAUAUAUGGUGUUUGCUGCAUGCCUACAUCUCUUCAGAUCAUUCGUUCACAAAGAAAAAACAUCUCAUCAGAUCCAACCUCCACCAGUGACGCCGAUCUAGAGGCGCCGUCAACUGCAAGUCAGUACCAGUUAUAUGAACUUUCUCAUGCCAUGGCUAAUCAUCAACCUUUUCAUUGUGCCUAAUCUUCAAGUGUUAGUUCUGUCUCUAGGAUUGUACAUAUUUGGCAGUACUUGACAGAAUGAGCGAUGGUAAGAGAUCAUUAGACUAUAAUUGUUCAUUUCGGUUAUGGAAUUAUAUUUCACCUUGAAUAUCCCAAUAGUACUCAUGAUUAUCAUUUUCAUUCGGUACUCAUGCUGAUCAAGAUUUGGUCCUUAUGCUUAAGUAAUUGUUGCUGAUCCAGCUCCUUCAAACUGAAUCAGUAGAAGGCUAAAAGUAGAAACAAAUGCCUUCAUGGGAUGCCUAAAAUGACUGGUGCAGGAACUAGGCUUAAAUUGCAGUCAGAAUCAGUACCAUGUGUUAGAAGCAGAUGAUCUCCUGGAUACUUUAAUUAAAGCCACUAUCACAGUUUAAACCAUAUAAAUUAAUUAAGGCCACUAUCACAGUUUAAACCAUAUGAACUAAUAGGAAGCCAUUUGCGGUGAAUCUUACAAUCACGUGCUGCUCUGAAAUGUUCCCAAAAAAACACUUUAACCUUUCGGCUUAAUAUAU
rnacentral:lncRNA from 1 species